rnacentral:rRNA from 1 species
UACGUAGGGUGCAAGCGUUAAUCGGAAUUACUGGGCGUAAAGCGUGCGCAGGCGGUUUUGUAAGACAGAGGUGAAAUCCCCGGGCUCAACCUGGGAACUGCCUUUGUGACUGCAAGGCUUGAGUGCGGCAGAGGGGGAUGGAAUUCCGCGUGUAGCAGUGAAAUGCGUAGAUAUGCGGAGGAACACCGAUGGCGAAGGCAAUCCCCUGGACCUGUACUGACGCUCAUGCACGAAAGCGUGGGGAGCAAACAGG